rnacentral:rRNA from 1 species
GCCUCGACUUCGUCCGGCUGCCUCCUCCCGUACCUGGCCGUCGUGUCGACUUAAUCCCCCGCGCCUUUUGCAUACUUCUUGUUUCCCGAGGGGGCUUAACCUCUGUUUUUAGUGGAACUUCUGAUUAAAAGAAACGAAUAAAUCAAAACUUUCAACAGCGGAUCUUUUGGUUCUGGCAUCCAUGAAGAACGCAUUCUAGUGCGAUAAAUAAUGUGAAUUGCAGAAUUCAAUGAAUCAUCAAAUCUUUGAACGCACAUUGCGCCCGCCAGUAUUCUGGCGGGCAUGCCUGUUCGAGCGUCAUUUCAACCCUCAAGCUCACCUUGGUGUUGGGACUCGCGGUAACCCGCGUUCCCCAAAUCGAUUGGCGGUCACGUCGAGCUUCCAUAGCGUAGUAAUCAUACACCUCGUUACUGGUAAUCGUCGCGGCCACGCCGUUAAACCCCAACUUCUGAAUGUUGACCUCGGAUCAGGUAGGAAUACCCGCUGAACUUAACCAUAUCAUUAAGGCGGAGGAACCG